UACGUAGGGUGCGAGCGUUAAUCGGAAUUACUGGGCGUAAAGCGUGCGCAGGCGGUUAUGUAAGACAGUUGUGAAAUCCCCGGGCUCAACCUGGGAACUGCAUCUGUGACUGCAUAGCUAGAGUACGGUAGGGGGGGAUGGAAUUCCGCGUGUAGCAGUGAAAUGCGUAGAUAUGCGGAGGAACACCGAUGGCGAAGGCAAUCCCCUGGACCUGUACUGACGCUCAUGCACGAAAGCGUGGGGAGCAAACAGG
rnacentral:rRNA from 1 species